GGUGAACGCUGGCGGCGGGCCUAAUACAUGCAAGUCGAGCGAACAGACGGUGAGCUUGCUCCUCUAACGGUAGCGGGUGACGGGUGAGUAAGACGUAGAUAGGCUACUUCUAAUACGUGGAGAAUUUCGUGGGGCCGGUUCUGAUACCGGCGCAUAUAUUCUACCGCAGAAAGCAAGAGUUAUUCGCGCUUUUGGUGAUACUUAUAGAUGGUGCCGCGUCGGAUUAGCUAGUUGGUAAGGUAACGGCUUACCAAGGCGACGAUGCGUAGCCGACCUGAGAGGGUGAUCGGCCACACUGGAACUGAGACACGGUCCAGACUCCUACGGGAGGCAGCAGUAGGGAAUCUUCGGCAAUGGGCGAAAGCCUGACGGAGCAACGCCGCGUGAGUGAUGAAGGUCUUCGGAUCGUAAAACUCUGUUAUUAGGGAAGAACAACUGUGUAAGUAACUACCGCCGUUUUGACGGUACCUAAUGAGAAAGCCCCGGCUAACUACGUG
rnacentral:rRNA from 1 species